UCCUACGGGAGGCAGCAGUAGGGAAUGUUGGACAAUGGGCGAAAGCCUGAUCCAGCAAUGCCGCGUGAGUGAUGAAGGCCUUAGGGUUGUAAAGCUCUUUUACCCGGGAUGAUAAUGACAGUACCGGGAGAAUAAGCUCCGGCUAACUCCGUGCCAGCAGCCGCGGUAAUA
rnacentral:rRNA from 1 species